rnacentral:rRNA from 1 species
UACGUAGGGGGCUAGCGUUGUCCGGAAUCACUGGGCGUAAAGGGUUCGCAGGCGGAAAUGCAAGUCAGAUGUAAAAGGCAGUAGCUUAACUACUGUAAGCAUUUGAAACUGCAUAUCUUGAGAAGAGUAGAGGUAAGUGGAAUUUUUAGUGUAGCGGUGAAAUGCGUAGAUAUUAAAAAGAAUACCGGUGGCGAAGGCGACUUACUGGGCUCAUUCUGACGCUGAGGAACGAAAGCGUGGUAGCAAACAGGAUUAGAUACCCU